AGGAUAAUAGUUAAUUAUAACAUUUAAUUUGCAUUUAAAAAGUAUUGUAUAAACAAUUUAUUUUA
rnacentral:tRNA from 1 species